CUGAUUAUAUUAAAGAGCCGCAGUAUUCUGACUGUGCGAAGGUAGCAUAAUAAAUUGUCUUUUAAAUGGAGGCUUGAAUGAAAGGUUGGACAAAGUAUCAUCUGUUUCUUAAAUAUUUAUUGAAUUUGACUUUCAAGUGAAAAGGCUUGAAUAAAUUAAAAAGACGAUAAGACCCUAUAAAUCUUUACAAUAAACAUGUUCUAUAUUUUAAUUUAUAAGUAUAUAAAAUAUUAAAUUUGUAUUUGUUUCGCUGGGGCGGCGUGGAUAUAUUAAUAAACUGUCUAUGUGUUAAAUCCAAUAAUUAUUGAUUAGUGAGAUUGAUCCUUAAAUAGAUUAAAAGAUUAAGAUACUUUAGGGAUAACAGCGUUAUUUUUUUUGAGAGUUCUUAUCGAAGAAAAAGUUUGCGACCUCGAUGUUGAAUUAAAGUAUCUUUAUGGUGCAGCCGCUAUAAUAGAGAGUCUGUUCGACUUUUAAUACUUUACAUGAUCUGA
rnacentral:rRNA from 1 species